GGAAAGGAAACCGCAUGAAUUACAGGGAGAAAGAAAUUAGAUCUACAGAGAUGAGCUCUGGUGCCGGCCUCCCUACAGGUUUGUCUGAAACAAAUUCAUAAGCAAGAUUUAAAUUAUGUCACAAUAAGGGACCCCUAAGGCACCAGAAGGUAGUAAGGCUAUGACAGACUUUCCAGGGCCAUUCGUCAUUCCCAUCCGGCUCCAGUGAGGCCGCUCCUCCAACCACCUGGUGAGAGAAGGCAUCUUGGAGAAGGCGCUGAGGUCUACGAAUUCUAAUGUCCAAAACUGCUCCCACCUGCGCAGUUGGUUACAAGUGACAUUCAUUGGCCUAUCUCCAGCCAGGCCAAAAAGCACGCAGCAGGUACAUCGUAGGUGACACAUGUUUCGCUACAUGUGGAAGAUAUGAUAGUAUAAGCACCCAGGCCCCACCAAGAGGCUCACAGCAGCGGUAAGAUAGUCCAUGAGAGAGCACGCCCCGUGCCCGUGUCUGUCCGUCUCUGCAGACUGCCCUGUGUACCCACGACACAUUACUACAAGUGGACUGCUGAGUCAAGGCUCAUGCGCGUUCUACGGUUUGUUACAUAUUCCUAAUGAUCCUCCUGAAUGUGGUGCAAAUUAACACUGGCUUGAAAAAUUAUGGCAAACUAGUGUUUCUUAAAUCCUAGUGUCCACAAGAAUCAGUGGGAGCUUUUUAAGAGAGGCCACUGGCUGAACACCUGCCCGGAGAUUCUGACUGCGAAGUCUGAGGUGGGCUCCAUAUAUGUGUCUCGUUUCUUUGAUUUUUAACAUUUUCACACCUGAAGUUUGACUGUGGAGGAGAGGGACUACAGAGUUCUGUGAAUCUUGACACAGGCAGUAGGUUUGCAGAAGCAGCUGAUGGUGUGGCAAGCAGAGUGCGGAAGAUUCCGUGACCCUAGCAAGCUGCUCAUGCUCUCAAGUCGCAGUGGCAUUCCACCCCCACCUCAAAGCCCUGGUGAGCACCUGUAUCUUCCCUAUCACUAUUGAUUUUUCUUCAAGUCUGGAAUCAUUUUGCAUGUGACCUUCCAGGAUUGGCUUCUUUCACUUUGAGUAACGCCUUUGGGGUCCACUCAAGUCGUUGCCUCUUGACGGCCAAGUAGUCUUCCCCGGCCUGGGUGGCCAUAGUUUGCCAGUCCAACCUCUACAGGACACCUGGGCUGCUUGCAGGUUCUGGGAGUCGCCUCUUAAACAAGCCCACCAGAUGAUUCUGAUGCAAAAGUUCCUCAGAUCGUGCUUGGAAAACCAACCCUGACACUUCCCCAAAAGUGGAUAUUACCGUCUUAAACUUUGGCUCAUCUGAUAAGUGCAGAAACUGUCUUAUUAUCAUAUCCUCAGGGGCUUGAGAAUCUUCUAAAAUCCAUAUUCACCGUGUGCAAUUCUGUGAAUUGUCUACUUAUAUCUUUUGUCACUUUUUGAAACUGAGUUUUUUCUGCUUUUCAUAUUGACUUGUAGGAGCCUUUUAUGUUGACGGGAUGAGCACUGGCUGUUAUUCUAUAUGUUGGCAAAUUGAACACCAAUAAAAAAUAAAUUUAUUUAAAAAAAUAAAAUAAA
ensembl:lncRNA